rnacentral:sRNA from 1 species
GCUACAUCGGACAAAGUCAGCUUCCCUGAUCCCAGGAUCUUACAUUCCUCCAUUUCUGUUGGCUGGGUCUGCUUCGUAUCCCCUUCUACUGCCGCUGUGACUGGUCCGUCUGCCUGCUCUUGUACCGCCCAGUCCAAUAAACUACUGCACAGUCCUGACCAGACCCUUGUUAGCAGCUUGUACUAUCAUCCUGACUGGCAGAGCCGCGAUCUGGUUGCUGAAGCAAUACCAUGACGUGCAGCUUCAGGGCGGAUUUCUUGCUCAGUGGACAACGCAUACAUACACAGCAAAAUUCACACAGAGCUCGAAAAUAAACAAACCCCUUUUCUCCCCCGAAGAGGCUCAUGGGGAAGUGAAAUAAUUCUAUUCCACAUUAAUCUUAUUGUAAAUGAUACAACAUUCUACGCACGGAGAGUGUUCAAAAUCCCAAACAUGCCCGAGCGUGCUUGUUCCUAAACACCGUGGUGCUUGGAGUUUCAGCAUCAAACAC